GCUAUGGAGCUUCAAGUGAAGAGCAGAUAUCCCUUAGCUUUGCCUCUUCUCACAAUGCUUCAAACAUGAAUUGCUGUAAUCUUGUACAAAUGGAGCUCCAUUUUGUUGUGAAUGUUUGUAAGGCAUACAAUGUCACAACUUACAUGUGACUUAAGAACUGUGCUUGAGGUUAUUUUGGGAGUUGGAGGGAGCUACGGGCC
rnacentral:misc_RNA from 1 species